GGUUGAGGUCGGUGCUAUACAGGGACAGAGUGGUGUACUGUGGGAAUGGGUUGAGGUCGGUGCUAUACAGGGACAGAGUGGUGUACUCUGGGAAUGGGUUGAGGUCGGUGCUAUACAGGGACAGAGUGGUGUACUCUGGGAAUGGGUUGAGGUCGGUGCUAUACAGGGACAGAGUGGUGUACUGUGGGAAUGAGUUGAGGUCGGUGCUAUACAGGGACAGAGUGGUGUACUCUGGGAAUGGGUUGAGGUCGGUGCUAUACAGGGACAGAGUUGUGUACUGUGGGAAUGGGUUGAGGUCGGUGAUAUUCAGGGACAGAGUGGUGUACUCUGGGAAUGGGUUGAGGUCGGUGCUAUUCAGGGACAGAGUGGUGUACUCUGGGAAUGGGUUGAGGUCGGUGCUAUUCAGGGACAGAGUGGUGUACUCUGGGAAUGGGUUGAGGUCGGUGCUAUUCAGGGACAGAGUGGUGUACUCUGGGAAUGGGUUGAGGUCGGUGCUAUUCAGGGACAGAGUGGUGUACUCUGGGAAUGGGUUGAGGUCGGUGCUAUUCAGGGACAGAGUGGUGUACUCUGGGAAUGGGUUGAGGUCGGUGCUAUUCAGGGACAGAGUGGUGUACUCUGGGAAUGGGUUGAGGUCGGUGCUAUUCAGGGACAGAGUGGUGUACUCUGGGAAUGGGUUGAGGUCGGUGCUAUUCAGGGACAGAGUGGUGUACUCUGGGAAUGGGUUGAGGUCGGUGCUAUUCAGGGACAGAGUGGUGUACUAUGGGAAUGAGUUGAGGUUGGUGCUUUUGUAAAGACCAAAUGUCAGCCUAACAGAUGAAAUGUGUCAACUUCAAA